AUUGCCUUCUCAGCUACUAAUCCUACUGGUUUUUCCAAUAAAAUGAGUUUUCUUUUUUUAGUCCAGAGGUUCUUUUUUUCUUUUUCCGGUAAAGAUCGCCCGUAGGCAUCAAGAUUUAUAACAAAAGGAAUGUUGCAUACAGCCGACGAACAGGAAAAAAUAAAGAACAAACAAGUAUAUAGCCUUUGUGACCAGGACAAAAAUCCAUCACCCAUAAGCAACCCAUCACCCAGCACAAAAAGAACCAUAAGCAACCCAUCACCCAGAACAAAAAGAAAACCAAAAUAUAUUGACAAAAACCCUCCCAACAGGCAUCACAUUUGAAAAGCCGAUUCCAGAUGUAACAGGCUUCCUGGUUGUUGGCAAUCCCCGCAUG
rnacentral:lncRNA from 1 species